rnacentral:rRNA from 1 species
CAGCAGCCGCGGUAAUACGUAGGUGGCAAGCGUUGUCCGGAAUUAUUGGGCGUAAAGGGCUCGCAGGCGGUUUCUUAAGUCUGAUGUGAAAGCCCCCGGCUCAACCGGGGAGGGUCAUUGGAAACUGGGAAACUUGAGUGCAGAAGAGGAGAGUGGAAUUCCACGUGUAGCGGUGAAAUGCGUAGAGAUGUGGAGGAACACCAGUGGCGAAGGCGACUCUCUGGUCUGUAACUGACGCUGAUGCACGAAAGCUAGAGGAGCAAACAGGAUUAGAUACCCCUGUAGUCCCUGUCUCUUAUAC